GACGAACGCUGGCGGCGUGCUUAACACAUGCAAGUCGAGCGGUAAGGCUCCUUCGGGAGUACACGAGCGGCGAACGGGUGAGUAACACGUGAGCAAUCUGCCCUUCUCAUCGGAAUAACCAUUGGAAACGAUGGCUAAUGCCGAAUACGACUUCCUUUCGCAUGUCAGGAAGUGGAAAGCUCCGGCGGAGAAGGAUGAGCUCGCGGCCUAUCAGCUUGUUGGCGGGGUAACGGCCCACCAAGGCAACGACGGGUAGCCGGCCUGAGAGGGUGACCGGCCACACUGGGACUGAGACACGGCCCAGACUCCUACGGGAGGCAGCAGUGGGGAAUAUUGGACAAUGGGCGAAAGCCUGAUCCAGCAACGCCGCGUGAGGGAUGACGGCCUUCGGGUUGUAAACCUCUUUCAGCGGGGACGAAGCGAAAGUGACGGUACCUGCAGAAGAAGGACCGGCCAACUACGUGCCAGCCGCCGCGGUAA
rnacentral:rRNA from 1 species